UACGAGGGGGGCGAGCGUUGUUCGGAAUUAUUGGGCGUAAAGGGUGCGUAGGCGGCCUGACAAGUCUGAUGUGAAAUCCCUGGGCUCAACCCAGGGCCUGCAUCGGAAACUGUCGGGCUUGAGUAUGGGAGAGGUGAGUGGAAUUUCCGGUGUAGCGGUGAAAUGCGUAGAUAUCGGAAGGAACACCUGUGGCGAAAGCGGCUCACUGGACCAUUACUGACGCUGAUGCUCGAAAGCUAGGGGAGCAAACAGGG
rnacentral:rRNA from 1 species